rnacentral:tRNA from 1 species
GGGGCUAUAGCUCAGUUGGUAGAGCAUUUCGUUCGCAACGAAGGGGUCGCAGGUUCGAAUCCUGUUAGCUCCA